GGCCUCGUGGCGCAAUGGUAUCGCGUCUGACUCCUGAUUAGAAGACUGGGUGUUCGAGUCACUCCGAGGUCA